rnacentral:rRNA from 1 species
AUUGAACGCUGGCGGCAGGCCUAACACAUGCAAGUCGAACGAGUGGCGGACGGGUGCGUAAUGUCUGGGAAACUGCCUGAUGGAGGGGGAUAACUACUGGAAACGGUAGCUAAUACCGCAUACCAUCAGAUGUUCCCAGAUGGGAUUAGCUAGUUGGUGGGGUAACGGCUCACCAAGGCGACGAUCCCUAGCUGGUCUGAGAGGAUGACCAGCAACACUGGAACGGAGACACGGUCCAGACUCCUACGGGAGGCAGCAGUGGGGAAUAUUGCACAAUGGGGGCAAGCCUGAUGCAGCCAGGCCGCGGGGAUGAAGAAGGCCUUCGGGUUGUAAAGUACGUUCAGCGGGGAGGCGUUACCCGCAGAAGAAGCACCGGCUAACUCCGUGCCAGCAGCCGCGGUAAUUC